UGAGUGUUAUGUGAACUUAUAUUCUCUGAUAAGGCCAUUCAUUCAGACUUAAGGGCAAAGAUUAUAAAAGCAGGGGUUUGCCUGGAAACUGUUUUGUCAUAGUAAAAUAGAGCUUUCUGAUUCAUGAAUUAUUCUCUCCUAAAAAGCUUAUCUUCUGGUACGUGCAGUUUCUGUUCCUCUUUUUAUAUUUGGUAGUGACCUGUUCCAAAACAGAUCACGAGGGGAUUGCCUCAUGUAUGCAGGGGGGGACUGUAUAAAAAUGCCCAGUCGACACAGAAAGGGGCUUUUUUCCGACUUUCCUGACUACUCUCAUUCUUCAUCCAUUGCUUUCGCUUUAUUUUUCCUUUUUGCAACUUCAAAAUAAAAACCUUCUCUUUUUGGCA